CCUACGGGUGGCAGCAGUGGGGAAUAUUGGACAAUGGGGGGAACCCUGAUCCAGCGACGCCGCGUGAGUGAAGAAGUAUUUCGGUAUGUAAAGCUCUAUCAGCAGGGAAGAAAGAAAUGACGGUACCUGACUAAGAAGCCCCGGCUAACUACGUGCCAGCAGCCGCGGUAAUCCGUAGGGGGCAAGCGUUAUCCGGAUUUACUGGGUGUAAAGGGAGCGUAGACGGCGAUGCAAGUCUGAAGUGAAUGUCUGGGGCCCAACCCCUGGACUGCUGUGGAAACUGGAUGGCUGGAGUGCAGGGGAGGUAAGUGGAAUUCCUAGUGUAGCGGUGAAAUGCGUAGAUAUGAGGAGGAACACCAGUGGCGAAGGCGGCUUACUGGACUGUAACUGACGUUGAGGCUCGAAAGCGUGGGGAGCAAACAGGAUUAGAUACCCCUGUAGUC
rnacentral:rRNA from 1 species